GGAAGGUGCUCCGAACAGGGCCUCACGCGUGCUGUGGGAGGCGCCCCAGGGCUGACUUUUGCUUGGCUCCUUGCUAUGCUUUGCACGAUGCUCCUCUAAAGGGUCAGAUUCUGCUAGUGACCAAGCUACAGCUUGGGUGCAUGGUGUGGACAGAAUUAGACACUUUCACCUGGGAUUCCCCUAAACAGUUGAUGGUCCUGAGCCCUGCCUCUAUACCGAGCUC
rnacentral:lncRNA from 1 species